GAUGAAGAACGCAGCGAAAUGCGAUACGUAAUGUGAAUUGCAAAUUCAGUGAAUCAUCGAGUCUUUGAACGCACAUUGCGCCCCCUGGUAUUCCGGGGGGCAUGCCUGUCCGAGCGUCAUUGCUGCCCUCAAGCACGGCUUGUGUGUUGGGCCCCGUCCUCCGAUCCCGGGGGACGGGCCCGAAAGGCAGCGGCGGCACCGCGUCCGGUCCUCGAGCGUAUGGGGCUUUGUCACCCGCUCUGUAGGCCCGGCCGGCGCUUGCCGAUCAACCCAACUUUUUUAUCCAGGUUGACCUCGGAUCAGGUAGGGAUACCCGCUGAACUUAAGCAUAUCAAUAAGCGGAGGA
rnacentral:misc_RNA from 1 species